GGAAACGAUCGUUAAUACCGCAUAAUAUAAUUGAACCGCAUGAUUUGAUUAUCAAAGAUUUAUCGCUGAAAGAUGAGCUCGCGUCUGAUUAGCUAGUUGGUAAGGUAACGGCUUACCAAGGCGACGAUCAGUAGCCGGACUGAGAGGUUGAUCGGCCACAUUGGGACUGAGACACGGCCCAGACUCCUACGGGAGGCAGCAGUGGGGAAUAUUGCACAAUGGAGGAAACUCUGAUGCAGCGAUGCCGCGUGAGGGAAGAAGGUUUUAGGAUUGUAAACCUCUGUCUUCAGGGACGAAAAAAGACGGUACCUGAGGAGGAAGCUCCGGCUAACUACGUGCCAGCAGCCGCG
rnacentral:rRNA from 1 species